rnacentral:rRNA from 1 species
UACGAAGGGGGCUAGCGUUGCUCGGAAUCACUGGGCGUAAAGGGUGCGUAGGCGGGUCUUUAAGUCAGGGGGGAAAUCCUGGAGCUCAACUCCAGAACUGCCUUUGAUACUGAAGAUCUUGAGUUCGGGAGAGGUGAGUGGAACUGCGAGUGUAGAGGUGAAAUUCGUAGAUAUUCGCAAGAACACCAGUGGCGAAGGCGGCUCACUGGCCCGAUACUGACGCUGAGGCACGAAAGCCAGGGGAGCAAACGGG